rnacentral:rRNA from 1 species
AUACGGAGGGUGCAAGCGUUAUCCGGAUUCACUGGGUUUAAAGGGUGCGUAGGUGGGUUGGUAAGUCAGUGGUGAAAUCCCCGAGCUUAACUUGGGAACUGCCAUUGAUACUAUCAGUCUUGAAUACCGUGGAGGUCAGCGGAAUAUGUCAUGUAGCGGUGAAAUGCUUAGAUAUGACAUAGAACACCAAUUGCGAAGGCAGCUGGCUACCCGAAUAUUGACACUGAGGCACGAAAGCGUGGGGAUCAAACAGGAUUAGAUACCCUGGUAGUCCACGCCCUAAACUAUGGAUACUCGACAUUUGCGAUAAACUGUAAGUGUCUGAGCGAAAGCAUUAAGUAUCCCACCUGGGAAGUACGACCGCAAGGUUGAA